ensembl:snRNA U2 U2 spliceosomal RNA
AUUGGUUCUUGGCCUUUUGGCUGAGAUCAAGUGUAAUUAUCUGUUCUGAUCAGUUUUAUGAGGUUUGCUAUUUUUUGCAAAUUUUGAGAACUUCAGUAUGUCCAAAAGCAGGUUCCCUAU